rnacentral:rRNA from 1 species
UUGCAGAAGGCGAGGAGGCGUCGCGUGCCGGCGUUCGGGGAGUGGAACUACAACUACCACCACGACGAGCCGCAUGCGGCGGCGGCGACCGCGUGCUACGCCACGCCGGAGCCGGAGGCCUGCAGCGACGUGUGGUUCAGGUACUCGCCGCCCCCGGGCAAACCCACGCCCAAGAAGCAGGCGAGGAGGCGGCCCGAGGGCGACUCGCCGCCCCCGGGCAAACCCACGCCCAAGAAGCAGGCGAGGAGGCGGCCCGAGGGCGACGUGUCCCGGGAGCGCUCGACGGCCAAAGGCGGCGACUCCAGGCGGGUGGUGCGGCCAGUCGACGGGGACCUGUACCAGGUGCCACCGCCGGAGCUCGCCCCCCACCGGGGGCCGAGGAAGACGGGGAGCAUGUGGAUGGGAUGCCUGGGCCUCAGCUCAUGCGUCGACUGA